rnacentral:rRNA from 1 species
CCUACGGGAGGCAGCAGUGGGGAAUUUUGCACAAUGGAGGAAACUCUGAUGCAGCGAUGCCGCGUGAGUGAAGAAGGCCUUUGGGUUGUAAAGCUCUUUUGUAGGGGAAGAUAAUGACUGUACCCUAAGAAUAAGGUCCGGCUAACUUCGUGCCAGCAGCCGCGGUAAUACGAAGGGACCUAGCGUAGUUCGGAAUUACUGGGCGUAAAGCGCGCGUAGGCCGUUGAGUUAGUUAAUUGUGAAAUCCCAAAGCUUAACUUUGGAACUGCAAUUAAAACUGCUCGACUAGAGUUUGAUAGAGGAAAGCGGAAUACAUAGUGUAGAGGUGAAAUUCGUAGAUAUUAUGUAGAACACCAGUUGCGAAGGCGGCUUUCUGGAUCAACACUGACGCUGAGGCGCGAAAGUAUGGGUAGCAAAGAGGAUUAGAUACCCUCGUAGUCCAUACCAUAAACGAUGAUUGCUAGAUGUUGGAAAUUUAUUUUCAGUAUCGCAGCUAACGCAUUAAGCAAUCCGCCUGGGGAGUACGACCGCAAGGUUAAAACUCAAAUGAAUUGACGG